AUUGAACGCUGGCGGCAUGCUUUACACAUGCAAGUCGAACGGCAGCGCGGGCUUCGGCCUGGCGGCGAGUGGCGAACGGGUGAGUAAUGCAUCGGAACGUGCCCAGUAGUGGGGGAUAGCCCGGCGAAAGCCGGAUUAAUACCGCAUACGACCUGAGGGUGAAAGCGGGGGACCGAAAGGCCUCGCGCUAUUGGAGCGGCCGAUGCCGGAUUAGCUAGGUGGUGGGGUAAAGGCUUACCAAGGCGACGAUCCGUAGCUGGUCUGAGAGGACGACCAGCCACACUGGGACUGAGACACGGCCCAGACUCCUACGGGAGGCAGCAGUGGGGAAUUUUGGACAAUGGGGGCAACCCUGAUCCAGCCAUGCCGCGUGCGGGAAGAAGGCCUUCGGGUUGUAAACCGCUUUUGUUCGGGAAGAAAUCCUCUGGGCUAAUACCCCGGGGGGAUGACGGUACCGGAAGAAUAAGCACCGGCUAACUACGUG
rnacentral:rRNA from 1 species